UCAAAGUUUUGCCUAUGAAAAGUAUCAAUGGUUGUGUUAUACAUGUAUGCAAAGUUAUCGUUUAUGGAUACAUGAUAUUUCCAAUUUAAUACAUGUAAUAUUGCAUUAUUUUGGAUCGAAUAAAGGUCUUAGUAUGCUGCUUUCUUCCGCAUUAUCACAUUAUCACCGACCUUAAUAUAAAUCAGUGGCAUAAUUAAUGCUACAAACGGUAUCUAGGCAUAUCACGCGUUUUCAAAACAGCCAAUGAGUUUAAAGCGUUGGUUUUGUAUCACGUGAAUCCUAUCAACCAAUCAGAAAUAGCGCGGGCGAAAUGAAAAAAGAAAAAACGGGAUUGGAAAUGGAUAGUAAAUAAAAUUCAGAAUAUUGCAAAACAAGGACAGUUAAAUCUUCUAGAAAUGCAGCUGUGCUCUCUUUACAGCAAUUGUAGAUGAAGCAAAGUAUGGUAGCAAGUUAUAUAGAUAUACACACAUGCCGAAGAAGAUUGUAAUAUCUGGAGAUAACAUUUCCUACGUCACGAAAUAGACACCGUCACACUGGUCUACGUAACA